rnacentral:rRNA from 1 species
CGCACGGGUGAGUAACACGUAUCCAACCUGCCGUCUACUCUUGGACAGCCUUCUAGAAAGGAAGAUUAAUACAAGAUGGCAUCAUGAGUCCGCAUGUUCACAUGAUUAAAGGUAUUCCGGUAGACGAUGGGGAUGCGUUCCAUUAGAUAGUAGGCGGGGUAACGGCCCACCUAGUCUUCGAUGGAUAGGGGUUCUGAGAGGAAGGUCCCCCACAUUGGAACUGAGACACGGUCCAAACUCCUACGGAAGGCAGCAG